rnacentral:rRNA from 1 species
UACGUAGGGUGCGAGCGUUGUCCGGAAUUACUGGGCGUAAAGAGCUCGUAGGUGGUUUGUCGCGUUGUUCGUGAAAUCUCACGGCUUAACUGUGAGCGUGCGGGCGAUACGGGCAGACUGGAGUACUGCAGGGGAGACUGGAAUUCCUGGUGUAGCGGUGAAAUGCGCAGAUAUCAGGAGGAACACAGGUGGCGAAGGCGGGUCUGUGGGCCGAUACUGACGCUGAGGAGCGAAAGCGUGGGGAGCGAACAGG